CCAGAUCCUUUCCCUGAACGCAAAGUUUACUGGAAGUUCCCAUGAUGCGUAUGUCAUUAGACAAUCAGGGAUAUGGCACAGAUUAAGAUCAAGUCAACGAGCAGACAUGUGGUUAUUGGGAGACCGUGGAUAUCCUUGCACCCCCUGGCUCAUGACUCCUUACCGUAAUCCCAGGCCAGGACCACAGACGGCAUUUAACUCCGCGCUUACUGCCACUAGGCAGCUGGUGGAGCGCACAAUUGGGGUCCUUAAAGGGCGGUUUCGUGUGCUCCACCGCACUGGUGGCGACAUCAUGUAUUCGCCGGAGAUGGCAAGUAAACUAGUGGUUCUGUGCGCAAUACUACACAAUAUCGCGGUAAGGAGUAGCGUAGAGCUUCCUCAGACAGAGGAAUUGCCUGAUGAGGAGCCAGGGGUUGUUCGACACUUCGGUGGGGGGAGUGUUACACGGAGGGGGAGCCAAGUCAGGGCAAGCAUUGUUGCUGAAUAUUUCAGCUGAAUGAUCACACAAACUGUGGACGAGAACAACGGCAGACCUCUCAGCCCC